GACGAACGCUGGCGGCGUGCUUAACACAUGCAAGUCGAACGGAAAGGCCCUGCUUUUGUGGGGUGCUCGAGUGGCGAACGGGUGAGUAACACGUGAGUAACCUGCCCUUGACUUUGGGAUAACUUCAGGAAACUGGGGCUAAUACCGGAUAGGAGCUCCUGCUGCAUGGUGGGGGUUGGAAAGUUUCGGCGGUUGGGGAUGGACUCGCGGCUUAUCAGCUUGUUGGUGGGGUAGUGGCUUACCAAGGCUUUGACGGGUAGCCGGCCUGAGAGGGUGACCGGCCACAUUGGGACUGAGAUACGGCCAGACUCCUACGGGAGGCAGCAGUGGGGAAUAUUGCACAAUGGGCGGAAGCCUGAUGCAGCAACGCCGCGUGCGGGAUGACGGCCUUCGGGUUGUAAACCGCUUUCGCCUGUGACGAGGCGUGAGUGACGGUAAUGGGUAAAGAAGCACCGGCUAACUACGUGCCAGCAGCCGCGGUGAUACGUAGGGUGCGAGCGUUGUCCGGAUUUAUUGGGCGUAAAGGGCUCGUAGGUGGUUGAUCGCGUCGGAAGUGUAAUCUUGGGGCUUAACCCUGAGCGUGCUUUCGAUACGGGUUGACUUGAGGAAGGUAGGGGAGAAUGGAAUUCCUGGUGGAGCGGUGGAAUGCGCAGAUAUCAGGAGGAACACCAGUGGCGAAGGCGGUUCUCUGGGCCUUUCCUGACGCUGAGGAGCGAAAGCGUGGGGAGCGAACAGGCUUAGAUACCCUGGUAGUCCACGCUGUAAACGGUGGGUACUAGGUGUGGGGUCCAUUCCACGGGUUCCGUGCCGUAGCUAACGCUUUAAGUACCCCGCCUGGGGAGUACGGCCGCAAGGCUAAAACUCAAAGGAAUUGACGGGGCCCCGCACAAGCGGCGGAGCAUGCGGAUUAAUUCGAUGCAACGCGUAGAACCUUACCUGGGUUUGACAUGGAUCGGGAGUGCUCAGAGAUGGGUGUGCCUCUUUUGGGGUCGGUUCACAGGUGGUGCAUGGCUGUCGUCAGCUCGUGUCGUGAGAUGUUGGGUUAAGUCCCGCAACGAGCGCAACCCUUGUUCACUGUUGCCAGCACGUUAUGGUGGGGACUCAGUGGAGACCGCCGGGGUCAACUCGGAGGAAGGUGGGGAUGACGUCAAGUCAUCAUGCCCCUUAUGUCCAGGGCUUCACGCAUGCUACAAUGGCUGGUACAGAGAGUGGCGAGCCUGUGAGGGUGAGCGAAUCUCGGAAAGCCGGUCUCAGUUCGGAUUGGGGUCUGCAACUCGACCUCAUGAAGUCGGAGUCGCUAGUAAUCGCAGAUCAGCAACGCUGCGGUGAAUACGUUCCCGGGGCU
rnacentral:rRNA from 1 species